GACAUAGGUGGCAAAUGUUAUCCGGAAUUAUUGGGCGUAAAGGGUGCGUAGGUGGUUUAAUAAGUUACUGGUGGGAAAUCGGGGCCCAACCCCGUGGAAGUUAGUAAUACUAUUAGACUAGAGGAUCGGAGAGGUUAACGGAAUUCUAUGUGUAGCGGUAAAAUGCGUAAAUAUAUAGAGGAACACCAAAAGGCGAAGGCAGUUAACUAUUCGAUUCCUGACGUUGAGGCACGAAAGCGUGGGGAGCAAGACGG
rnacentral:rRNA from 1 species